UAAUGGUGAUUCCUACCACAACCAGUGGCUGCUCAUGUUCUACUCCCUCCUCACCCACCUUUAAAUCUCCAUCCCUCUGACCCACACCGACGCAGCAGACUCCAUGCUACAGCUUAACAGGCAUUUGCUGCUACAGACUAAUUUGGAAUGAGCAGGAUUCUGUCCCUUCCAGAUGAGGUGCAAUUCUUUACACCUUUCCCCAGUGAAACACUCUAUUCAUUUCUUCAAUAAGAUAAGCAGCAGAAAAAGGCUUUGAAAACAGAACAUGCUGGAGCUGGAGAAAACUUGCUAUGGAAGGAAAAGGGAUGCAAUGGGAAUUUCUUCAUUCUGUUGCUUACAAUACAUCUUAGUGUCAUUUUCUCUGGCCCAUCAUAUCCUGUAUUAGGUGGAAACACAUAUUGCUACUUUCUGCAGUCUCCACCAAACCAGUUCACAACAAUCUCCCACCUUAAGAAAUAAGAUAUAAGAAAUAGGAUAUUCUGCAUACAGAAUUAUCAGAUCAACUUAUUAACUAGCAAGAAGUCUACCAAAUAGAAAAUUCACUCUAGAAGUGGGCAAACCCUUGAUGAGAAUACAUAUAUUGUUUUAUAUCAGACUGCUUUUGUUUCAUAGACUGGUAAACAAUAAAUCCUUCUGUUGUUUUGAAUUUCAAAACCCUCAUUUUAUUAGUGAAUGAGCUAUGAGAAAAAGAGGCCAUAAGAGAUUAAUUUUGGGGAAAGGAAGU